UAAAUUUAUCACUUUAAAAAUAAAAUAAAUUAUCAGAAAUGAAAUCCAUUCAAAAAUAUAAAUAAAUUGGGAAACCAAACAAAUUACAUUCACCAGAAAAAAAAUAAAAUUCAGUCCCACUCUUUAGAUGCGGCAGCAGUCAUCUUCAUGGAAACUUCAGCUCCACCACGCACAACCUUCCGCUCUUUCCGCUGUUCUUGCUUCAGACGCUGCUGUCGUUGCUUCUGUUGUUUCUACUCUUACCCAUGAGUAACCAACUCCAACUGCUUUUCUGCAAACGCGCGUUCGCAGCUUUGUGAUUCUAUUGCUGGCUAAGGUAAUGUAGUUAUUUUUCUACAGGAAUCACGUGUCACCUUCUUUCUACUGUUUUUGUCCAUGCUAAGUAAAUAUUCUCACCAGUUGGUUUAAAUAUUUGAGCACAAGACGACACCGAUGCAGAGUUUGAUGUGUUCUUACUUUGUGGGAUUGCGUAUGAAGUUGCCAUGGCUGUGUUGCAAAAAUAGAGUCGUGGAAAAGAAGAGCAAAUGAAAAACAUGCGACUCUGCCGUGGCUGGAGGAAAAGCAAAGGAAAAAAACUGAAAGUUAUUAACAGAGGAGGAAAAUGAAGAUCUGUAGACGCAGUCGAUCAAUUGAAACUAUAGGAAUUUCUCUAAACUGCUUCUUUCUCUUAAUGCAUUAACUUCCACAUUACAACUUGGCUUACCAUAGUAACCUAUGUAGCCCGAUACCUAUUGAAAGUGUGUUGCUGCCAGACAUUGAACCAUAUGGUUACAUUGGAUUAUUGUAUUUCUUAGUAUUAUUUGAAAAUAUCUAAGUAUGAGGGUCGUGUUCAGUGUCAAUGUUUUAUAUAUGGUAUCCCAUUUUGUUUUGUUCUUAACUUGAAUAUCAUUUCAUCAAUUCAAUUUUUAUAAAGUGCCUUCUAUGAUUUCAUAGAUGCUCAUUUCAAUUUUA